ACAGUGUUCCUGGCAGCUAUUCAAGAAAUUUAGUUAGUACGUUACUUUCUUAUGGGAGCUAUUGUUUGUAGUUUACUAUUAACUAAAUAUUAAAAAUCAAGUGGUUACAAAAAGCAGGUGCAUGUGAUGAUAUUAUAAGACAUGAUAAUGUCCUAACAUGAAGAAAACAAAUAGAAAGUUUCAAACAAAUAUUGUCAUGCUGGACAAACUCUCACCCGCGUGUGAUUCAUAUGCUUUCUCCAAAACAACUACCUGCCACCAACUCUCACAUUUCAUAUAAGAUAUUGGUAAUUCACAACAUAGUAUCAAGGAUUUUGAAGUCUCCGCAACAGUAUUGCCACGGUAAUAUAAGGGAUUUUGAAGCCUCCACAACAGUAUUGCCACUGUAAUAUAAGGGAUUUUAAAGUCUCCACAACAGUAUUGCAACCGCAAUUUUGACAUCUUAUUCCCGCAUUUUUCUGCAAUAUAAAGGUUUGCAACGUAACUAGAACCACUAUAUAUAAUCUAUAGUUGGUAGUAUUAGUUUUGCCACCGUCGAGGGACAAUAGUAGUUGUAUAGUUUUCAGAAAUUGAUUCAAAUUCUGUGAUGCUAACAAGUGAAAUGAGCGCUUUUUCUGUGCUGCUGAUUCUACUAAUCUUCUGCAAUUCUGGGUUUUGUAUUGCUGGUGGUUUGUUGAAUUUCACAAGUUCUGCUUCAUCGCGUAAAAAUCUAUCUAGAAGUAGCAAUCCAGAGUUGGAAGACAAGAGAGGUGUGCCAUCAGGAGCUAAUCCUCUGCAUAAUCGGUAGCAACCUCUGUAGCACCUACACUUCUGAUCGAAGAUGAGUCUGGUGUGCGACACAUGUCAGUGUCCAACACAAGAGACAUAGACAAACACGUGUACGUGGGGACCACAGAGAAAGAGAUGUGUUCUGAGAGUAUUAGCUUCAGGACCUCUAAAGGGUUAAAACGAAUCUGAUAUUCCUUUUGUUCUUGUUUGGAAUGUUAUGAGAAAGAAGGGAAAAAAGUAUUGAUCAUAUUUAAGAAUUGUCUAUAAUUUGGAUUCUUUUGAGUGUUGUUAUCUGACAUGUUUGUGCAUGAGCUGUCUCUUUGUUUGAUUAUGUCUUGCACUGCAUGCCUAUAAUAAAUUAAUUCUUUUUUA